rnacentral:rRNA from 1 species
CUGGCGGCGUGCCUAAUACAUGCAAGUCGAGCGAUGAGGCUCCUUCGGGAGUACAUCAGCGGCGAACGGGUGAGUAACACGUAGGUGACUUGCCCCGAAGAUGGGGAUAACCUCUGGAAACGGGGGCUAAUACCCAAUGUGCUCGGUGAUUCGGUUGAUCGAGUAAAGCUCCGGCGCUUCGGGAGAGGCCUGCGGCCCAUCAGCUAGUUGGUAGGGUAACGGCCUACCAAGGCAGAGACGGGUAGGGGGCGUGAGAGCGCGGACCCCCACGCUGGCACUGCGACACGGGCCAGACUCCUACGGGAGGCAGCAGUAAGGAAUAUUGCGCAAUGGACGAAAGUCAGACGCAGCGACGCCGCGUGGGCGAUGAAGGCCUUCGGGUUGUAAAGCCCUUUUAUGGGGGAAGAGAAAAAGGACGGUACCCCAUGAAUAAGUCCCGGCUAACUACGUGCCAGCAGCCGCGGUAAAACGUAGGGGACAAGCGUUAUCCGGAUUCACUGGGCGUAAAGAGCGUUGAGGCGGUUCCGUAAGUUGGGCGUGAAAGCUCCGGGCUUAACCCGGAGAUGUCGUUCAAUACUGCGGGGCUUGAGGACAGCAGAGGAAGGUGGAAUUCCCGGUGUAGUGGUGAAAUGCGUAGAUAUCGGGAGGAACACCCGUGGCGAAGGCGGCCUUCUGGGCUGUUCCUGACGCUGAAGGCGAAAGCUAGGGGAGCGAACGGGAUUAGAUACCCCGGUAGUCCUAGCUGUAAACGAUGGAUGCUGGGUGUGGGGGGUGUAAAUUCCCUCUGUGCCGAAGCAAACGCGUUAAGCAUCCCGCCUGGGGACUACGGCCGCAAGGCUAAAACUCAAACGAAUUGACGGGGGCCCGCACAAGCAGCGGAGCGUGUGGUUUAAUUCGAUGCUACACGAAGAACCUUACCUGGGUUUGACAUGCACGUGGUAGGGAACCGAAAGGGGACC